rnacentral:rRNA from 1 species
ACUUAAAUUGAAGAGUUUGAUCAUGGCUCAGAUUGAACGCUGGCGGCAGGCCUAACACAUGCAAGUCGAACGGUAGCACAGAGAGCUUGCUCUCGGGUGACGAGUGGCGGACGGGUGAGUAAUGUCUGGGAAACUGCCCGAUGGAGGGGGAUAACUACUGGAAACGGUAGCUAAUACCGCAUAACGUCGCAAGACCAAAGUGGGGGACCUUCGGGCCUCACACCAUCGGAUGUGCCCAGAUGGGAUUAGCUAGUAGGUGGGGUAACGGCUCACCUAGGCGACGAUCCCUAGCUGGUCUGAGAGGAUGACCAGCCACACUGGAACUGAGACACGGUCCAGACUCCUACGGGAGGCAGCAGUGGGGAAUAUUGCACAAUGGGCGCAAGCCUGAUGCAGCCAUGCCGCGUGUAUGAAGAAGGCCUUCGGGUUGUAAAGUACUUUCAGCGAGGAGGAAGGCGUUGUGGUUAAUAACCACAGCGAUUGACGUUACUCGCAGAAGAAGCACCGGCUAACUCCGUGCCAGCAGCCGCGGUAAUACGGAGGGUGCAAGCGUUAAUCGGAAUUACUGGGCGUAAAGCGCACGCAGGCGGUUUGUUAAGUCAGAUGUGAAAUCCCGGGCUCAACCUGGGAACUGCAUUUGAAACUGGCAAGCUUGAGUCUCGUAGAGGGGGUAGAAUUCCAGGUGUAGCGGUGAAAUGCGUAGAGAUCUGGAGGAAUACCGGUGGCGAAGGCGGCCCCCUGGACGAAGACUGACGCUCAGGUGCGAAAGCGUGGGGAGCAAACAGGAUUAGAUACCCUGGUAGUCCACGCCGUAAACGAUGUCUAUUUGGAGGUUGUGCCCUUGAGGCGUGGCUUCCGGAGCUAACGCGUUAAAUAGACCGCCUGGGGAGUACGGCCGCAAGGUUAAAACUCAAAUGAAUUGACGGGGGCCCGCACAAGCGGUGGAGCAUGUGGUUUAAUUCGAUGCAACGCGAAGAACCUUACCUACUCUUGACAUCCAGAGAACUUAGCAGAGAUGCUUUGGUGCCUUCGGGAACUCUGAGACAGGUGCUGCAUGGCUGUCGUCAGCUCGUGUUGUGAAAUGUUGGGUUAAGUCCCGCAACGAGCGCAACCCUUAUCCUUUGUUGCCAGCGGUUCGGCCGGGAACUCAAAGGAGACUGCCAGUGAUAAACUGGAGGAAGGUGGGGAUGACGUCAAGUCAUCAUGGCCCUUACGAGUAGGGCUACACACGUGCUACAAUGGCAUAUACAAAGAGAAGCGACCUCGCGAGAGCAAGCGGACCUCAUAAAGUAUGUCGUAGUCCGGAUUGGAGUCUGCAACUCGACUCCAUGAAGUCGGAAUCGCUAGUAAUCGUAGAUCAGAAUGCUACGGUGAAUACGUUCCCGGGCCUUGUACACACCGCCCGUCACACCAUGGGAGUGGGUUGCAAAAGAAGUAGGUAGCUUAACCUUCGGGAGGGCGCUUACCACUUUGUGAUUCAUGACUGGGGUGAAGUCGUAACAAGGUAACCGUAGGGGAACCUGCGGUUGGAUCACCUCCUUACCUUAAAGAAGC